CAAAGUAAAGCUAAAUUUUAGUAUUUCACUUACAUUGAAAAGUUUAAUCGCAAGCCGAUUUACUUUGG
rnacentral:tRNA from 1 species